ensembl:lncRNA
UAUUAUUAUUGAUUUUAUUGUUAUUAUUAUUAUUAUUAUUAUUAUUACUCCUGCACCGUGCCGGUCUCACUGGACAGGGUGUGUUGAGUGAAACGCUGCUGUUCCGCGUUCACAUCCUUACGCAGGUUAAUAAUUAAUUGUAGAGGAGUAAAGAGCGCUGACGUGUGAGGAACGUCAUUAAAAUACAUAAUAAAUAUGAAAAAAAAAAAAAACACGUUAUAAUUCAUGUAGGAUUAGUGAUGAUGCACGUCCAUCACUUACAUUAUUCAUGGUGCAGACGGAUGACGGACUUCAUAUAGCCGUCUACAGAAAAGGCAAAUAUAUUCUCAGAAUUCAUCUCAUCUGUAAAAUAUGCGUGUGUGUGUGUGUGUGUGUGAAAUGAAUUACUCUGGUGAUGAAUGUGGUUAUUAAUGUGUAAAUAAUGAUUUGUUUUCAGUGAAGUUAUUUGUAAACUGCGGCGGUCGGGGACUCUGGGACGGAGCACCACUCGGUGUGUUUUGACUCUUCAUUAGGUUUGGAUGAGUCUCUGCUCUCGGGAGACAUGGAAAUCCGAUUUGAGACACAGCCGCUCACCCUCGACCCCUACAGAGAGGGGCUUAAACACGCUGUGAAUUUCAGCACUCGGGCUAAAAAGACCGGCAGGAAUCUUCUGUUCACUGAGCAGUGAGACACGCUGAACCACAGAGACAGAGACACAGACAGAGAGAGAGAGACUCGUGGAGGAGAAAUGAAAACUGUGACGGACUGAGCUGUAGUGUGAUAAACCAACAUGAAGACCAGAGAGCUGUCUAUGGGAGAAAAGCGAGCCAUGUUCAAGCUGUGAGAAGAGGGAACAUCUAUCCAGCAGCAUCACACAAGCAUUGUGGAAUGGCCUGAAAACGAAAGAACCCACCGGUGUACGGGUGUACCCCGGGUCGGCCGAGGAAAACAGCAGCAGUCGAUGACAGAAAUAUUGCGAGAGCUGCGAAGAGAAACCCGCAACCAAGUCAGUGACAUCACCGACAACCUCCACAGGGCAGGGGUGAAGGUAUCACAAUCCACCGUUGAGCAGAAAUACAGCGGACAAACCACAAGAUGCUCACCACUCAUCAGCAGUAAGAAUCAGAAAACCAGACUGGAAUUCGCAAAGAAAUACGGAGACGAUCCACGAAAGUUCUGGAACCGAGAUGAACUUCUAGCAAAGUGACGGAAAGUCCAAAGUGUGGAGAAAGAACGGAUCUGCUCGUGAUCCAGAACAUACAAGCUCACCUGUGAAACAUGAUGGAGGUAGCGUCAUGGCUUGGGCUCUCAUGGCUGCUUCUGGAACAUUCUCACUAAUCUUUAUUGAUGAAGAACUCAUGAUGGGAGCAGCAGAACGCAUUCAGAAGUCUACAGGAACGUUCUCUCCGCAGAUUUACAGAGAAAUGCAUCCGAAUGAAUCAGGACUUUACUUCAAGACUGAUCUGUUCCUAUACUUUUGUUCGCUUAAAAAUUGAGUGAUGCAAAAAAAGCCGUAUAUUUUAUGGUGUGUAAGACGUCUAGACGUAAAAUACAGGAAAUGAACGCUGAAAUCCUAAACUCUCGUCUCCAUCUUUUCAUCUCAAACCCAAAAGUCUUUGGUGUAGAGCACAAACUAA